AGAGUUUGAUCAUGGCUCAGAUUGAACGCUGGCGGCAGGCCUAACACAUGCAAGUCGAGCGGUAGCACAGAGAGCUUGCUCUCGGGUGACGAGCGGCGGACGGGUGAGUAAUGUCUGGGAAACUGCCUGAUGGAGGGGGAUAACUACUGGAAACGGUAGCUAAUACCGCAUAACGUCGCAAGACCAAAGUGGGGGACCUUCGGGCCUCAUGCCAUCAGAUGUGCCCAGAUGGGAUUAGCUAGUAGGUGGGGUAACGGCUCACCUAGGCGACGAUCCCUAGCUGGUCUGAGAGGAUGACCAGCCACACUGGAACUGAGACACGGUCCAGACUCCUACGGGAGGCAGCAGUGGGGAAUAUUGCACAAUGGGCGCAAGCCUGAUGCAGCCAUGCCGCGUGUGUGAAGAAGGCCUUCGGGUUGUAAAGCACUUUCAGCGGGGAGGAAGGCGAUAAGGUUAAUAACCUCAUCGAUUGACGUUACCCGCAGAAGAAGCACCGGCUAACUCCGUGCCAGCAGCCGCGGUAAUACGGAGGGUGCAAGCGUUAAUCGGAAUUACUGGGCGUAAAGCGCACGCAGGCGGUCUGUCAAGUCGGAUGUGAAAUCCCCGGGCUCAACCUGGGAACUGCAUUCGAAACUGGCAGGCUAGAGUCUUGUAGAGGGGGGUAGAAUUCCAGGUGUAGCGGUGAAAUGCGUAGAGAUCUGGAGGAAUACCGGUGGCGAAGGCGGCCCCCUGGACAAAGACUGACGCUCAGGUGCGAAAGCGUGGGGAGCAAACAGGAUUAGAUACCCUGGUAGUCCACGCCGUAAACGAUGUCGAUUUGGAGGUUGUGCCCUUGAGGCGUGGCUUCCGGAGCUAACGCGUUAAAUCGACCGCCUGGGGAGUACGGCCGCAAGGUUAAAACUCAAAUGAAUUGACGGGGGCCCGCACAAGCGGUGGAGCAUGUGGUUUAAUUCGAUGCAACGCGAAGAACCUUACCUGGUCUUGACAUCCACAGAACUUUCCAGAGAUGGAUUGGUGCCUUCGGGAACUGUGAGACAGGUGCUGCAUGGCUGUCGUCAGCUCGUGUUGUGAAAUGUUGGGUUAAGUCCCGCAACGAGCGCAACCCUUAUCCUUUGUUGCCAGCGGUUAGGCCGGGAACUCAAAGGAGACUGCCAGUGAUAAACUGGAGGAAGGUGGGGAUGACGUCAAGUCAUCAUGGCCCUUACGACCAGGGCUACACACGUGCUACAAUGGCAUAUACAAAGAGAAGCGACCUCGCGAGAGCAAGCGGACCUCAUAAAGUAUGUCGUAGUCCGGAUUGGAGUCUGCAACUCGACUCCAUGAAGUCGGAAUCGCUAGUAAUCGUAGAUCAGAAUGCUACGGUGAAUACGUUCCCGGGCCUUGUACACACCGCCCGUCACACCAUGGGAGUGGGUUGCAAAAGAAGUAGGUAGCUUAACCUUCGGGAGGGCGCUUACCACUUUGUGAUUCAUGACUGGGGUGAAGUCGUAACAAGGUAACCGUAGGGGAACCUGCGGUUGGAUCACCU
rnacentral:rRNA from 1 species